GACGUAGGGCGCGAGCGUUGUCCGGAUUUAUUGGGCGUAAAGAGCUCGUAGGCGGCUUGUCGCGUCGACCGUGAAAACUUGGGGCUCAACCCCAAGCCUGCGGUCGAUACGGGCAGGCUCGAGUUCGGUAGGGGAGACUGGAAUUCCUGGUGUAGCGGUGAAAUGCGCAGAUAUCAGGAGGAACACCGAUAGUGAAGACAGCUUACUAGGCUUCUACUGACGCUGAGGCACGAAAGUGUGGGGAUCAAACAGG
rnacentral:rRNA from 1 species